rnacentral:lncRNA from 1 species
CCCUUUCUUCCUUCCUUCUUCUAUCCCUAUAUCCUAGUCCCUUCCUUUCCGCUCUCCUCUCCCUUUCUUUCCUAUCGAGAAUUCUGUAUGUCGCCCCAGCUGACCUUGAAGUCACUGGAUAGCCCAAGCUAACCUCAAAUGCAUGGUCUUAUUUCAGCCUGUGGGUGCUGGGAUUACCAGUGUGCACCUCCACUCCCAGCUCAGCCUUUUCUUUAAGAUGGGAGGUGACUGUAUGGAGAGUACAUGGCUCAUGGGGCCAAGGCAGGAGCGUGGUGACCCAGAGGCCAACCUGGCUACUGAUGAGACUAUCUUGGAAGAUCAAAAAUCUUUCAUUUUGAUUAACUCAAAGUUGGAUUUUAAUUUUUUUCUCCCUUGCUACAGGAUUUCUGUUAAUGGAGAAAGCCCCAAACACCGGUCAUGGCACACUUUAACAGCAAUCGCGGACGAUAAGCUUUUCCUAUUUGGUGGACUAAGUGCAGAUAAUAUUCCACUAAGUGAUGGCUGGAUUCAUAAUAUAAUAACAAACUGUUGGAAACAACUUAGACAUUUACCUUACACCAGGCCCAGGUUAUGGCACACAGCCUGUUUGGGAAAAGAAAACGAAAUAAUGGUAUUUGGUGGGAGCAAAGACAACUUACUUUUCUUGGAUACAGGUCACUGUAAUGAUUUAUUGAUCUUUCAAACACAGCCCUAUUCACUGCUCAGGUCAUGUCUUGACUGCAUUGGGAAAAAUGCGAUCAUUUUAAAAAGUCAAAUAUCUUUAUUAC